GACGAACGCUGGCGGCGUGCCUAAUACAUGCAAGUAGGACGCAGUUGCGAACGGGUGAGUAACGCGUAGGUAACUGCCUAUUAGAGGGGGAUAACUAUUGGAAACGAUAGCUAAUACCGCAUACUCGUAGAUGGACCUGCGUUGUAUUAGCUAGUAGGUAGGGUAAUGGCCUACCUAGGCAACGAUACAUAUCCGACCGGAGAGGGUGAUCGGCCACACGGGGACUGAGACACGGCCCAGACUCCUCCGGGGGGCAGCAGUAGGGAAUCUUCGGCAAUUGGGGGAACCCUGACCGAGCAACGCCGCGUGAGUGAGGAGGGUUUCCGGAUCGUAAAGCUCUGUUGUUAAGGAAGCGGUACUUAACCAGAAAGGGACGGCUAACUACGUGCCAGCAGCCGCGGUAAUAC
rnacentral:rRNA from 1 species